UUUGAAAUCUGGCGUCUUUGGCGUCUGAGUUGUAAUUUGAAGAAGGUAUCUUUGGGCCCGGCUCUUGUCUAUGUUCCUUGGAACAGGACGUCACAGAGGGUGAGAAUCCCGUGCGAUGAGAUGACCCGGGUCUGUGUAAAGUUCCUUCGACGAGUCGAGUUGUUUGGGAAUGCAGCUCUAAGUGGGUGGUAAAUUCCAUCUAAAGCUAAAUAUUGGCGAGAGACCGAUAGCGAACAAGUACAGUGAUGGAAAGAUGAAAAGAACUUUGAAAAGAGAGUGAAAAAGUACGUGAAAUUGUUGAAAGGGAAGGGCUUGAGAUCAGACUUGGUAUUUUGCAUGCUGCUCUCUCGGGGGCGGCCGCUGCGGUUUACCGGGCCAGCAUCGGUUUGGAGCGGCAGGAUAAUGGCGGAGGAAUGUGGCACGGCUUCUGCUGUGUGUUAUAGCCUCUGACGAUACUGCCAGCCUAGACCGAGGACUGCGGUUUUUAACCUAGGAUGUUGGCAUAAUGAUCUUAAGUCGCCCGUCUUGAAACACGGACCAAGGAGUCUAACGUCUAUGCGAGUGUUUGGGUGUAAAACCCGUACGCGUAAUGAAAGUGAACGAAGGUGGGGGCCCAUUAGGGUGCACCAUCGACCGAUCCUGAUGUGUUCGGAUGGAUUUGAGUAAGAGCAUAGCUGUUGGGACCCGAAAGAUGGUGAACUAUGCCUGAAUAGGGUGAAGCCAGAGAAACUCUGGUGGAGGCUCGUAGCGGUUCUGACGU
rnacentral:rRNA from 1 species